CGGCGUGCCUAACACAUGCAAGUCGUACGAGAAAGCCGGCUUCGGCUGGUGAGUAAAGUGGCGCACGGGUGAGUAACGCGUGGAUAAUCUGCCCUUAAGUGUGGAAUAACGUACCGAAAGGUGCGCUAAUACCGCAUAAUGCCUUGGCAACACAAGUUGUCCGGCCAAAGAAGGCCUCUGUUUACAAGCUUUCGCUUCAGGAUGAGUCCGCGUACCAUUAGCUUGUUGGUGGGGUAAUGGCCUACCAAGGCUGCGAUGGUUAGCUGGUCUGAGAGGAUGAUCAGCCACACUGGAACUGAGACACGGUCCAGACUCCUACGGGAGGCAGCAGUGAGGAAUAUUGCGCAAUGGGGGCAACCCUGACGCAGCAACGCCGCGUGAGUGAGGAAGGUUUUCGGACUGUAAAGCUCUGUCGAGCGGGAAGAAGUGUACCAUGGCUAAUAUCCAUGAUAUUUGACGGUACCGCUAGAGGAAGCACCGGCUAACUCCGUG
rnacentral:rRNA from 1 species